rnacentral:rRNA from 1 species
CAGCAGUCGCCGCGGGAAUACAGAGGGUGCGAGCGUUAAUCGGAUUUACUGGGCGUAAAGCGUGCGUAGGCGGCUUCUUAAGUCGGAUGUGAAAUCCCUGAGCUUAACUUAGGAAUUGCAUUCGAUACUGGGAAGCUAGAGUAUGGGAGAGGAUGGUAGAAUUCCAGGUGUAGCGGUGAAAUGCGUAGAGAUCUGGAGGAAUACCGAUGGCGAAGGCAGCCAUCUGGCCUAAUACUGACGCUGAGGUACGAAAGCAUGGGGAGCAAACAGGAUUAGAUACCCGGGUAGUCCCUGUCUCUUAUAC